rnacentral:rRNA from 1 species
UACGUAGGGUGCGAGCGUUGUCCGGAAUUAUUGGGCGUAAAGAGCUCGUAGGCGGUCUGUCGCGUCGAUCGUGAAAAACUUGGGGCUUAACCCUGAGCUUGCGGUCGAUACGGGCAUGACUGGAGUUCGGCAGGGGAGACUGGAAUUCCUGGUGUAGCGGUGAAAAUGCGCAGAUAUCAGGAGGAACACCGGUGGCGAAGGCGGGUCUCUGGGCCGAUACUGACGCUGAGGAGCGAAAAGCGUGGGGGAGCGAACAGG